CGUUCAAACACUGGUUCUCCUAUGAUUACUGAAGUUAAGCAACAUCAAGCCUGGUUAGUACUUAGAUGGAUGACUGCUUGGGAAUACCAAGGG